GAGUAAGUAACAGACAGCCGAGACCAAAGAAAGGGCACAAAACCAAACCACCACCACCUCCUCCUCCCUCUCUCUCUCCUCACUUUCUCUCCCUUCACUUCGGUCCUAAACCAGAAAAAAAAAAAGUUCGACGCAUUGAGGAAACUGGAAACCCAAGAAAUGGACGCCGACGAGAGAGUGACGGCGUUGAAGAAGGCGUACGCCGACAUAAUUCUGAACACGGCGAAAGAGGCGGCGGCUCGGAUAAUGGUGUCGGAGAGAAAAGCUGUUGGCUUUCAGCACGAGCUCAAUGUCGCCAAAGAACAGGCGCUUCAGACGCUCCUGCGUUUGAAACAAAUGAUGGAUUCGAAGGGCGGUGAAGCAGGGGUGACCUGCUUGAGUCAGCAGAAAAUGAUUGAAGACCUCGAAGCACGACUUCGGGAAGCCGAGGAUACAAUCAAUGAAGCAGAGAUGACAUCCUUAAGUCAACGCCAAAAGAUUGAAGAACUUGAAGCACAACUCGAGGAAGCUGAGGACAUAGUAAAAGACGUCAGAGAAGAGUUGAGAGAAGUGCAGGCUGAACUGGAAAGGGUGAGAAACAGCAAGUUACAGCAAAUGGAUGAAAAUGAUACUGUUGCCGAAGAACAAACAUCUCAAGCUAACAAAUUAUUUACUUCUCAGUCGGUUACACCCCCUCCUGCAAAAUCACAACUUCUACCUUCCACAACUUCCGACACGAAGAAUUCAGCUUUCUAUCAGAAAAAUGAGUUGUAUGAGUGCUACACUGUCAAUGACUCUUGUAUCUCGAAUUCCCAUAUUAGUAAACCUGAUCUUCCCUCUACCUCGGAGGAUAACAGACUAAAUACUUCUCGGUCUAUUUUAUCCACUCAUCCGGGUUCAGGACUCAAUUCUCUCACGGCUUCUGGUGUCAAGAAUUCAGCUUCCAAUCAGAGGAACGAGGUCUCUAAGGGCUAUGGUAAUUCAAAUGGGUUUCCAAUGGGUAGCUUGAACAUUAGGAAACCUGAGGUUCCCUCUGUGAUACUAAGAAGCAACGAGCCUACACCAUACAGAAACCGUCGUACCCAGAGAAUACUUGCGUUUGAAGAGAAACUGAUGGCCGGAGAAUUGGCUUUUUCUGAAACAAUGAAUGACAUGAAUUACGUAACAAGUGGAAGAGAAGAUGGAGAAGAAUCAGAAGAUGAAGGGACAUGUAAAACAUCAAUAAAGAAGAAAAAGGUGGUGCGGGGUGUUAAGGGUCGGAACCAAGUUCUGAAAGUUAAGUCUUUCCAGCAUAAAAGGAAAAGAGCUACGAGAUAUAAGAAAAUUGAAACCCUCUCAUCUAGAAAUCUCUCUAAUGAGGUCAUCAAGAGCGAUCGAACUAUAUCUUGUGCAGAGACAAUUUCUGUCAAUAUCUCUGCUCAAUCUUGUGGAGACCCUUCUACCAUGGCCCCACGACCAUCAGCAGAUAAAGAAAAUGAGGACCCUCCUUUAGGCUCUACAAAAAUUGCCGAACUUGAUGCACAGUUGGAUAAAGCUGUUAAAGUUGAAAAUCUUACAAACAAGGACAAGGCAUCAAUAGAUCAAUUACAGUUGACGAGGCACGAAAGAGGAUUUGCAGACAGUUUAGGGGUUAUGAUUUGUGGAGUGGAUGUUGAGCAAGUUGAUGUACCAGUAGUAAACUCACAGGCAAAGAUGUCUGACUUAAAUGAUGAGAUUCCUAGCCAACAUGAACUUGGUAGUAGGGUUAUCAAGAUCACAUUCCAAAGGAAACGGAAGAGAGAGUCUAUGGUUAACGGGAAUGCCUCUCUUGUAGAGAGUAUUCUAUUAGAAAAGGCAACAGAGAAACAAAAUGUGAUGCUGGAGACGGAGAUGUCUAGCUCUAAUUGAUCCUCCUCAAAGUUGGCGUCUAGCACAGGUUGCUCGUCAGGUUGGUUAAUAUAUCUCCUUUCUUACUUGGAUGUUUGUUAACAUGUAUGGAUAGAUAUUCGCUUCUUGUUAGGUAUCUGAUGGAUGAUGUAUAUUCUCUAUCAUUUGUACAGAUUGGGUACUUUUAAUCCAUUUGUGUUGAAUCUGUUGUUUGAUGUUUAACCUUAGUCAUCUAUGCCUAUAUAUUCCUUCCAUUCUUGCUGGCCUACUCGUACUUGGGACAUAAUUUGGUCCCCAAACAUGAGAUCCUAUCCUCCCACUCGGUAAGGUCUACAUAAGUAUUGUGGAAAGAUUUUAAGUCCACAAUCAUAAGAUGCUUCUUUGAUAGUAACUGGAAAGCAACUGAUAGUAAGACUAGGCAUGAAACAACUUUCUUUGAUAAAGCUAAUCUUAUAGCGCUAUCUUCUGUACUGGAAACCUACAUUCAAUGACCUCGUUCACUAGUAGUAACUGUGAGGCCGUGUCUAGGUUUCAGAUUUUUCUAUACCCUACGGCGUAUGAUAUAGAGAUAUGCAACCUAAAGACUUCAGCUGGUCCCUUUUCUUGGCACCUGGUUUAUCUCUUGGCAGCGUUCCAAAUUUAUUGGAAGGCAUUCCACAUUGUUAGGAGAAAGCUGGCCUUGGCAGCUAUGGUUUGUUUCCUUUGGUAAGAAAGGAUCAACAGACCUCUGAAGGCGUAUAAAAGGUCCCCGUAUUUGACUAUUUUUGUUAUGGAUCAAAUGAAUGUUGAAGUUCACGUAAAUGCCUCUCAAUUUAGAUCUGUUAAACUCUCAAGCAUUACUAUCUUGCUGUGUGAACAGUAGCUCACACCUCGUGGUAUAUUUGCUAAUCACUAGCCUUAUUUCCCGAAAUCAGUCUGUCUGUAGUUAGAAAGGUAAGCCCUUCUUAGUGCUACUAAUUAUCUUUUUCCAAUUCAUGAUACUAUCAUAAAUACCUUGACAAUGUUGGAUAUGAGUAUGUGUUGGCAUCUAGAACAUGUAAGUAAAUGGUUCUGUGUACAGUAAUGUGAAACAAGAUAAUGUAGUUGUGUAUGAGUAUACUUGCAAUAUAAAGGAACUUUUAUUUACCAUCCUCGUGCGAUGGUAUUUUUUUUUCUAAACUGUGAAGUGCAUGUUUCUCUUCUACAGAAAUAUAAUGAAUCAGAGGAUCCUAGUAUCUAACCCGGCUUGUAUCUCUGUCUGAGAAAAAAUGGUGUCAGUAAAUCCCGUCAUGGAAUGCAUUGGAGUGGUAAAGGGUGCUUAAGUUGGGGGCAAAGCAAACAGCAACAUUCCUCAGAUAGUUCUCUCAAAUCGCCGCCUGCUGCAUUGAGUGAUUGUACAUCCUUGAGUUUCUAAUUCAUGGGAGAAUUACUGAAACAAACAUUAUAAUUAUUGUAUUUCUUCAAUGUCUCUCUUUUCAUAGUACCCUAAGUAACCCAUCAACUGUUUUUUUGGAAGUUAAAUGGCAUUUUGCAGA